GAUGAACGCUGGCGGCGUGCCUAAUACAUGCAAGUCGAGCGAACGGACGAGAAGCUUGCUGCUCUGAUGUUAGCGGCGGAGGGGUGAGUAACACGUGGAAAACCUACCUAUAAGACUGGGAUAACUUCGGGAAACCGGAGCUAAUACCGGAUGAUAUUUUGCACCGCAGGGUUCAAAAGUGAAUGACGGUCUUGCUGUCACGUCUAGAUGGAUCAGCGCUGCAUUAGCUAGUUGGUAAUGUAACUGCUUACCAAGGCUACGAUGCAUAUCCGACCGGAGAGGGUGAUCGGCCACACUGGAACUGAGACACGUUCCAGACUCCUGCGGGAAGCAGCAGUAGGGAAUCUUCCGCAAUGGUGGAAAGCCUGACGGAGCAACGCCGCGUGAGUGAUGAUGGUCUUCUGUUCGGAAAACUCUGUUAUUAGUGGAGAACAUAUGUGUAAGUAACUGUGCACAACUUGACGGUAACUAAUCAGAAAGCCACGGCUAACUACGUG
rnacentral:rRNA from 1 species